UUACUUACCAGGCACAGGAAAAAACACAAUCAAGAAGAUGGUUUCCCCAGGGUGAGGCCUUUCCAUUGCACUUCAGUUGGAUUGACACCUGUGAUUUCCCCAAAUGUGGGAAACUCAACUGUAUAAUUUAUGGUAAACCAGAUUAAUGCUGCUUUUACCUAAAUCUC